GCAACUGCAUCUCCUCUCCUGUCACUGCUGCUGCUGCUCGCCUGCUGUGCGGACGCUUGCAGAGGUACGCCAAUAUCGCCUCAAAGAUUACCACCAGAACAAGAACUACAAUUGUGGAAUGAGAUUCCUGAAGCUUGUGCGUCCUUUCUGUCUGUUGAUUCCCAGCCUCAGGCAUCUGUUGCAUUGAGGAAGCUUUGCCGUGUCCUGAUGGAGAUUUUCCAGAAGCCUCAGUUCUUAUUUCAUUAUUCAAAGACACAGAAGUUGGGAAAUUCAAAUGUUGUGUCGUCUGUCGUGCAUCCGUUGCUGCAGCUCGUUCCUCAACUGCAUGAGAGAAGAAUGAAGAGAUACAAAGUGAAUGUAUGUAAGACCGACUGCAUGCCGGCUUUGCCGCUCUGUGGCGACCCCUUCCGCUAAUCACAGCUGUGGUCCUUUGUAAGAUACCCCUCUUCAGGGAAUACCAGGGUCCUGUAGCUCCAAGUGGGGGAUUCUUUUUAUUUAGGCCACGCAAUGGGAAGAGGUCAACAAGUUUCAUUUAAAAUGGAUGCCAAAUGAUCUUUUCAUUGAAAACUCUGCUAUGGGAUAUAAAAUGUACUCACAUUUUGUUCUCAAAAAAAAAAAAAAAAUGAUCCCUCCGAAAUGUAGUCUGUUGCAAACCCCUGUAUUGUAACAUUCUCUGCCAUGGUUGAGAUUAUGAAUGUUUAAUUUGUUGAAAAUAAAACAGCAUCUUGAAAUGUAUUGUUACAAUG
rnacentral:lncRNA from 1 species